rnacentral:rRNA from 1 species
CCUACGGAGGACAGCAGUGAGGAAUAUUGGUCAAUGGGCGCGAGCCUGAGCCAGCCACGUAGCGUGAAGGAUGACUGCCCUACGGGUUGUAAGCUUCUUUUAUAAAGGAAUAAAGUGCGGCACGUGUGCCUGUUUGUCUGUACUUUAUGAAUAAGGAUCGGCUAACUCCGUGCCAGCAGCAGCGGUAAUACGGAGGAUCCGAGCGUUAUCCGGAUUUAUUGGGUUUAAAGGGAGCGUAGAUGGGUCGUUAAGUCAGUUGUGAAAGUUUGCGGCUCAACCGUAAAAUUGCAAUUGAUACUGGCAGUCUUGAGUACAGUUGAGGUAGGCGGAAUUCGUGGUGUAGCGGUGAAAUGCUUAGAUAUCACGAAGAACUCCGAUUGCGAAGGCAGCUUACUAAACUGCCACUGACAUUGAUGCUCGAAAGUGUGGGUAUCAAACAGGAUUAGAUACCCGGGUAGUC